GUUGAACGCUGGCGGCAUGCCUUACACAUGCAAGUCGAACGGCAGCACGGGUGCUUGCACCUGGUGGCGAGUGGCGAACGGGUGAGUAAUACAUCGGAACGUACCUUAUCGUGGGGGAUAACGCAGCGAAAGCUGUGCUAAUACCGCAUACGCCCUGAGGGGGAAAGCGGGGGAUCGAAAGACCUCGCGCGAUUAGAGCGGCCGAUGCCUGAUUAGCUUGUUGGUGGGGUAAAAGCCCACCAAGGCGACGAUCAGUAGCUGGUCUGAGAGGACGAUAAGCCACACUGGGACUGAGACACGGCCCAGACUCCUACGGGAGGCAGCAGUGGGGAAUUUUGGACAUUGGGGGCAACCCUGAUCCAGCAAUGCCGCGUGAGUGAAGAAGGCCUUCGGGUUGUAAAGCUCUUUUGUCAGGGAAGAAACACCGGCUCUAACACAGUCCGGGAAUGACGGUACCUGAAGAAUAGGCACCGGCUAACUACGUGCCAGCCGCCGCUGUAA
rnacentral:rRNA from 1 species